UGUGUGUUAGUGGAAGCGUCUGGAAAGGCGCGCGAUACAGGGUGACAGCCCCGUACACAAAAAUGCACAUGCUGUGAGCUCGAUGAGUAGGGCGGGACACGUGGUAUCCUGUCUGAAUAUGGGGGGACCAUCCUCCAAGGCUAAAUACUCCUGACUGACCGAUAGUGAACCAGUACCGUGAGGGAAAGGCGAAAAGAACCCCGGCGAGGGGAGUGAAAAAGAACCUGAAACCGUGUACGUACAAGCAGUGGGAGCACGCUUCGGCGUGUGACUGCGUACCUUUUGUAUAAUGGGUCAGCGACUUAUAUUCUGUAGCAAGGUUAACCGAAUAGGGGAGCCGAAGGGAAACCGAGUCUUAACUGGGCGUUAAGUUGCAGGGUAUAGACCCGAAACCCGGUGAUCUAGCCAUGGGCAGGUUGAAGGUUGGGUAACACUAACUGGAGGACCGAACCGACUAAUGUUGAAAAAUUAGCGGAUGACUUGUGGCUGGGGGUGAAAGGCCAAUCAAACCGGGAGAUAGCUGGUUCUCCCCGAAAGCUAUUUAGGUAGCGCCUCGUGAAUUCAUCUCCGGGGGUAGAGCACUGUUUCGGCAAGGGGGUCAUCCCGACUUACCAACCCGAUGCAAACUGCGAAUACCGGAGAAUGUUAUCACGGGAGACACACGGCGGGUGCUAACGUCCGUCGUGAAGAGGGAAACAACCCAGACCGCCAGCUAAGGUCCCAAAGUCAUGGUUAAGUGGGAAACGAUGUGGGAAGGCCCAGACAGCCAGGAUGUUGGCUUAGAAGCAGCCAUCAUUUAAAGAAAGCGUAAUAGCUCACUGGUCGAGUCGGCCUGCGCGGAAGAUGUAACGGGGCUAAACCAUGCACCGAAGCUGCGGCAGCGACACUGUGUGUUGUUGGGUAGGGGAGCGUUCUGUAAGCCUGUGAAGGUGUACUGUGAGGUAUGCUGGAGGUAUCAGAAGUGCGAAUGCUGACAUAAGUAACGAUAAAGCGGGUGAAAAGCCCGCUCGCCGGAAGACCAAGGGUUCCUGUCCAACGUUAAUCGGGGCAGGGUGAGUCGACCCCUAAGGCGAGGCCGAAAGGCGUAGUCGAUGGGAAACAGGUUAAUAUUCCUGUACUUGGUGUUACUGCGAAGGGGGGACGGAGAAGGCUAUGUUGGCCGGGCGACGGUUGUCCCGGUUUAAGCGUGUAGGCUGGUUUUCCAGGCAAAUCCGGAAAAUCAAGGCUGAGGCGUGAUGACGAGGCACUACGGUGCUGAAGCAACAAAUGCCCUGCUUCCAGGAAAAGCCUCUAAGCAUCAGGUAACAUCAAAUCGUACCCCAAACCGACACAGGUGGUCAGGUAGAGAAUACCAAGGCGCUUGAGAGAACUCGGGUGAAGGAACUAGGCAAAAUGGUGCCGUAACUUCGGGAGAAGGCACGCUGAUAUGUAGGUGAAGUCCCUCGCGGAUGGAGCU
rnacentral:rRNA from 1 species